GGGGAAUUUUGGACAAUGGGGGCAACCUUGUUCCAGCCAUCCGGCGGGGGGAAAGAAGGCCUUGGGGUGGUAAGGCUCUUCGGGCGGGGAGGAAAUGGGGCAGGCUAAUACCUUGAAUUGAUGACGUUACGGGAAUAAGAAGCACCGCAUAACAACUGGCCAGCAGCCGCGGUAAUACGUAGGGUGCGAGCGUUAAUCGGAAUUACUGGGCGUAAAGCGUGCGCAGGCGGUUUUGUAAGACAGGCGUGAAAUCCCCGGGCUCAACCUGGGAACUGCGCUUGUGACUGCAAGACUAGAGUACGGCAGAGGGGGGUGGAAUUCCACGUGUAGCAGUGAAAUGCGUAGAGAUGUGGAGGAACACCAAUGGCGAAGGCAGCCCCCUGGGUCGAUACUGACGCUCAUGCACGAAAGCGUGGGGAGCAAACA
rnacentral:rRNA from 1 species